rnacentral:lncRNA from 1 species
UGAUAUUAUUAUGCUGGUGCAGGAGAUAAGCUAGACUGCCACACAAAGAAAUUCCAAAAUGUAGGUGAAACAUGAUGAUCUAAUGCAAGGGAAAAAUAAAAUACAUGCAGAGAAUAAAACAAAUAUAGUCAGUCAAAUAUAGUCAGUAUAAUAAAUGUGAUCAGCCUAACACCGUAAAAAUACAACCAGCCUGUAAAUAGUUGUUAAGUAUACUGAUUAAGUAAACCUUUAAUGUACAUCACUUCAGCUUGUCAAAUUCCUAAUGGUAUAAAUCCAUCAUGUUACUCCUCCUCCAAGCUCACUGGGACAACUAGGAAUUUAUAGAGUAAUUAAAAUGCAUCUCAUUAUACUUAACCAUCUUUUUUUUUUUUUUCUAAAUAUAUAUAAGGCACUGAUAUUUAUUGCAUAAUUUCCUUAAUCCCUUUUUCAGCAGAUAUUGUCCACUAAGUAUCAGGUAUUCUUUCUUAUUCCAUUAUACCUGUUUUAGGAUUAUAGUAGAGUAUCUGGAGGAAAAAGAAUUGAUCAUAAAUGUGGACCUGAUUUACAGAUAGAAGGAUGCUUUUGAAUUCAUGUUAUUGUGUUUGACAGCUUCUAGCUUCCCUGGGCAUUAGUAAUAGAAAGCCAUUGACAAGAGACAUUCAACAGCAAAACAGUAAGCUGGCCAAUAAAGUAGACAUAAUUGCACUAAAUCUUUUUUUUUUUUUUUUUUUUUUUUCAGAUCAAGAAUCUUUCCUGAGGAUGGGCUUUCAGCUCCUGAAGAUGGUGAGCAGGAAUGUGCAUACUGUUUGUCACAGUCUUGGAAGAAGAAAAUGCAUGUCAAGCAAGAUAACUGACACAGAAUAAUGAGACCUCAGACUAGAAAAAACACAUUCUCCCCUUUCCUUCUGUUUCUCUCCUCUCCCUUCCUCCUUCUCGCAGCUGUCACUUAAACUAUUGAUUAUAAUAAGGUAUUAUGUUUCAUCACAUUUGACCAAACAUUCAAAUAAAGCAGAAUUGGUUGGACUUGGUACUUGGGGA